rnacentral:lncRNA from 1 species
ACUGAGCAGCCACACAGUGUGUCUGACCUUUACAGGUGAUCCACUCAAAGCCUCGAGUAAAUCAUCCUUCUCGGGAGUGCUAGCUCGCGAUGAAGGCCUUGGAUGACUGAUGGAGACUCCUUUCUUCAGAUCAAAUGAACACCACUAGAUCAGAAGAAGGAACUUUCCAAGAAGAAGAUGUGAAAGAAGAAAAAUAAAACUCUUUUUAUUUUUCUCCCUUAUAAAAUAGGAACUAGGAAACCCUAAAACCCCCACCCUAGAUCUUGCGCCCCAAAGAGGAUCUUCUUCCUCUUUUUCUCAUACACGGAUGCCCACCCCUCUUUCUCAGAUUUAUCAUGCACUCUUUGAGGUUUUCUCAUACCAAAUCUAAAGUAGUUUGGCACACAAAAACUAGCCCUUCUUAAAGGUGGCAUCCAAUGUAGUGUUUGGAUAAUCUGGUUCAGCUUCAAAAUAGCCUUUGAUCUUAUCAUAAAUUCAAGUCAAAUUUGAACUCCAUUUUAAAUUAGAUAAAAUUUACACAUAAAGAACUCAGAAAGGAGGGUG